AAACAUUGAGGCCUCUCGAGUAAUAUCAUCGGCAUUUAAAUCAUCAAUGGAGAUUCCAUUGUUUCAAUGGAGUCAAAUAUCCAAGCAUCCUAAAUGGAUGCCUCAAAUCAAUGCAUGGUUUGACAGAUUUGAGUGAGCAUAACACUAUUGUGAGGAGGGUGUGGGAAAAUCACGCGGCAACUAGGUUGCGUGAUUUUUGGUAUGAAG